rnacentral:rRNA from 1 species
UUUAACCUGAGAGUUUGAUCCUGGCUCAGAACGAACGCUGGCGGCAGGCUUAACACAUGCAAGUCGAA